AGAUAAUGCUAAAAUGUUUACAAAUAUCUCUUUGAGUCUCUGCUUUCAGUUUUUCUGGACAUAUACCCAGCAGUGGAAUUCCUGAAUCUAUGAGUACACCCACCCUGUAAUCGAGGCUACUUCAUCACAGCCUCUCUGAUUCGAGGAUUCCAGUGGGAAAGACUCAUGACAAGCAGCAGAAAGUCGAAUUGG